CGACAAUUGGAGGGUAUCGCAUGUUAGGAGCUGGACCGAAGUCACAGUGAUUGGUGUCAAAGUCUGGCGGACCUGGCUGGGACCGGGGGCAGAGGGCUUUGCUCUCGGGUGCUGCAAGUCACGGCCUGCGCUUAACAACCGAUCUUGAACUGGUACGGACAAGAGUGUUUAAUUCAAACAAAGCAUGGCGAUGACCGGAAAUGGUGUUGACGCAGUGUGCUUUCUGCCCAGUACUGUGAAUGUCCAAGUGAAGAAAUUUAACCAAGCGCGGGUAAACGGCGCGAGUAACGAUGGCUCUCUUAAGGUAGCCAAUGACUCGUCAUCGAACUAGUGACGCGCAUGAAUGGAUGAACGAGAUUCCCACUGUCCCUAUCUACUGUCGCAGCCAAGGGAACGGAUUUGG
rnacentral:ncRNA from 1 species